rnacentral:rRNA from 1 species
UGGGGAAUUUUGGACAAUGGGCGAAAGCCUGAUCCAGCAAUGCCGCGUGUGUGAAGAAGGCCUUCGGGUUGUAAAGCACUUUUGUCCGGAAAGAAAUCCUUGGCUCUAAUACAGUCGGGGGAUGACGGUACCGGAAGAAUAAGCACCGGCUAACUACGUGCCAGCAGCCGCGGUAAUACGUAGGGUGCAAGCGUUAAUCGGAAUUACUGGGCGUAAAGCGUGCGCAGGCGGCUUGCUAAGACCGAUGUGAAAUCCCCGGGCUCAACCUGGGAACUGCAUUGGUGACUGGCAGGCUAGAGUAUGGCAGAGGGGGGUAGAAUUCCACGUGUAGCAGUGAAAUGCGUAGAGAUGUGGAGGAAUACCGAUGGCGAAGGCAGCCCCCUGGGCCAAAUACUGACGCUCAUGCACGAAAGCGUGGGGAGCAAACAGGAUUAGAUACCCUGGUAGUCCACGCCCUAAACGAUGUCAACUAGUUGUUGGGGAUUCAUUUCCUUAGUAACGUAGCUAACGCGUGAAGUUGACCGCCUGGGGAGUACGGUCGCAAGAUUAAAACUC